AGCGAACGCUGGCGGCAGGCCUAACACAUGCAAGUCGAACGGAUCCUUCGGGAUUAGUGGCGGACGGGUGAGUAACACGUGGGAACGUGCCCUUUGGUUCGGAACAACUCAGGGAAACUUGAGCUAAUACCGGAUGUGCCCUUCGGGGGAAAGAUUUAUCGCCAUUGGAGCGGCCCGCGUCUGAUUAGCUAGUUGGUGAGGUAACGGCCCACCAAGGCGACGAUCAGUAGCUGGUCUGAGAGGAUGAUCAGCCACACUGGGACUGAGACACGGCCCAGACUCCUACGGGAGGCAGCAGUGGGGAAUCUUGCGCAAUGGCGAAAGCCUGACGCAGCCAUGCCGCGUGAAUGAUGAAGGUCUUAGGAUUGUAAAAUUCUUUCAGCGGGGACGAUAAUGACGGUACCCGCAGAAGAAGCUCCGGCUAACUUCGUG
rnacentral:rRNA from 1 species